rnacentral:rRNA from 1 species
AUAUCAAUAAGCGGAGGAAAAGAAACCAACAGGGAUUGCCCUAGUAACGGCGAGUGAAGCGGCAACAGCUCAAAUUUGAAAUCUGGCUCCUUUGGGGGUCCGAGUUGUAAUUUGUAGAGGGUGCUUUGGCGUUGGCUGUGGUCUAAGUUCCUUGGAACAGGACGUCGCAGAGGGUGAGAAUCCCGUAUGUGGCCGCCAGUCUUCGCCGUGUAAAGCCCCUUCGACGAGUCGAGUUGUUUGGGAAUGCAGCUCUAAAUGGGAGGUAAAUUUCUUCUAAAGCUAAAUAUUGGCCAGAGACCGAUAGCGCACAAGUAGAGUGAUCGAAAGAUGAAAAGCACUUUGGAAAGAGAGUCAAAAAGCAC